AGAAUGAACGUUGGCGGCGUGGAUUAGGCAUGCAAGUCGAACGAAUCCCAUCUGGGUAACUGGAUGGGGGAAGUGGCGAAAGGGGCAGUAAUGCAUGGGUAACUUGCCCUGGAGUUCGGGAUAGCCUUUCUAACGAAAGGGUAAUACCGAAUGCCGUACUCGGGGGGCAUCCCCUGGGUACGAAAGUUCCGACGCUCCGGGAGGGUCCAUGUGGUAUUAGCUAGUUGGUGGGGUAACGGCCCACCAAGGCCAAGAUGCCUAGCAGGUGUGAGAGCACGACCUGCGUCACUGGCACUGGGACACUGGCCAGACUCCUACGGGAGGCUGCAGUCGAGGAUCUUCGGCAAUGGGCGAAAGCCUGACCGAGCGACGCCGCGUGUGCGAUGAAGGCCUUCGGGUUGUAAACCCCUUUCAGUAGGACGAAGCGCAAGUGACGGUACCUACAGAAGAAGCACCGGCCAACUACGUGCCAGCAGCCGCGGU
rnacentral:rRNA from 1 species